GACGAACGCUGGCGGCGUGCUUAACACAUGCAAGUCGAACGGACAGGCCCUGCUUUUGUGGGGUGCUCGAUUGCCGAACGGGUGAGUAACACGCGAGUAACCUGCCCUUGACUUUGGGAUAACUUCCGGAAACUGGGGCUCAUACCGGAUAGGAGCUCCUGCUGCAUGGUGGGGGUUGGAAAGUUUGGGCGGUUGGGGAUGGACUCGCGGCUUAUCAGCUUGUUGGUGGGGUAGUGGCUUACCAAGGCUUUGACGGGUAGCCGGCCUGAGAGGGUGACCGGCCACAUUGGGACUGAGAGACGGCCCAGACUCGUACGGGAGGCAGCAGUGGGGAAUAUUGCACAAUGGGCGGAAGCCUGAUGCAGCAACGCCGCGUGCGGGAUGACGGCCUUCGGGUGGUAAACAGCUGUCGCCUGUGACGAAGCGUGAGUGACGGUAAUGGGUAAAGAAGCACCGGCUAACUACGUG
rnacentral:rRNA from 1 species